AUUGAACGCUGGCGGCAGGCUUAACACAUGCAAGUCGAGCGAGCGGCGGACGGGUGAGUAAUGUCUGGGACACUUCGUGAUGGAGGGGGAUAAGUACUGGACACGGUUGCUACUACCGCAUAACAUCACAUGUGCCCAGAUGGGAUUAGCUAGUGGGUGGGGUAAAGGCUCACCUAGGCGACGAUCCCUAGCUGGUCUGAGAGGAUGACCAGCCACACUGGAACUGAGACACGGUCCAGACUCCUACGGGAGGCAGCAGUGGGGAAUAUUGCACAAUGGGCGCAAGCCUGAUUCAGCCAUGCCGCGUGUGUGAAGAAGGCCUUCGGGUUGUAAAGCACUUUCAGCGGGGAGGCGUUACUCGCAGAAGAAGCACCGGCUAACUCCGUGCCAGCAGCCGCGGUAAUUC
rnacentral:rRNA from 1 species